rnacentral:rRNA from 1 species
AAACCCGGAUUAAUACCGCGUACGCCCUUCGGGGGAAAGCAGGGGAUCUUCGGACCUUGCGCUAUUGGAUGUGCCUAUGUCGGAUUAGCUAGUUGGUGGGGUAAAGGCCUACCAAGGCGACGAUCCGUAGCUGGUCUGAGAGGAUGAUCAGCCACAUCGGGACUGAGACACGGCCCGAACUCCUACGGGAGGCAGCAGUGGGGAAUAUUGGACAAUGGGGGCAACCCUGAUCCAGCCAUGCCGCGUGUGUGAAGAAGGCUUUCGGGUUGUAAAGCACUUUCAGUGAGGAGGAAAACUCUGCGACUAAUACUCGUAGGGCUUGACGUUACUCACAGAAGAAGCACCGGCUAACUCCGUGCCAGCAGCCGCGGUAAUACGGAGGGUGCAAGCGUUAAUCGGAAUUACUGGGCGUAAAGCGCGCGUAGGUGGUUUGAUAAGCGAGAUGUGAAAGCCCCGGGCUUAACCUGGGAACGGCAUUUCGAACUGUCAAGCUAGAGUAUGGUAGAGGGUAGUGGAAUUUCCUGUGUAGCGGUGAAAUGCGUAGAUAUAGGAAGGAACACCAGUGGCGAAGGCGGCUACCUGGACCAAUACUGACACUGAGGUGCGAAAGCGUGGGGAGCCAACAGGAUUAGAUACCCUGGUAGUCCACGCCGUAAACGAUGUCUACUAGCCGUUGGGACUCUUGAAGUCUUAGUGGCGCAGCUAACGCACUAAGUAGACCGCCUGGGGAGUACGGCCGCAAGGUUAAAACUCAAAUGAAUUGACGGGGGCCGCACAAGCGGUGGAGCAUGUGGUUUAUU